GCUGGCGGCGUGCUUAACACAUGCAAGUCGAGCGGUAAGGCCCUUCGGGGUACACGAGCGGCGAACGGGUGAGUAACACGUGGGUGAUCUGCCUCGCACUCUGGGAUAAGCCUGGGAAACUGGGUCUAAUACCGGAUAUGACCUUACAUCGCAUGGUGUUUGGUGGAAAGAUUUAUCGGUGCGAGAUGGGCCCGCGGCCUAUCAGCUUGUUGGUGGGGUAAUGGCCUACCAAGGCGACGACGGGUAGCCGGCCUGAGAGGGCGACCGGCCACACUGGGACUGAGACACGGCCCAGACUCCUACGGGAGGCAGCAGUGGGGAAUAUUGCACAAUGGGCGAAAGCCUGAUGCAGCGACGCCGCGUGAGGGAUGACGGCCUUCGGGUUGUAAACCUCUUUCGACAGGGACGAAGCGCAAGUGACGGUACCUGUAGAAGAAGCACCGGCCAACUACGUGCCAGCAGCCGCGGUAAUACGUAGGGUGCGAGCGUUGUCCGGAAUUACUGGGCGUAAAGAGCUUGUAGGCGGCUUGUCGCGUCGAUCGUGAAAACUUGGGGCUCAACCCCAAGCUUGCGGUCGAUACGGGCAGGCUUGAGUACUUCAGGGGAGACUGGAAUUCCUGGUGUAGCGGUGAAAUGCGCAGAUAUCAGGAGGAACACCGGUGGCGAAGGCGGGUCUCUGGGAAGUAACUGACGCUGAGAAGCGAAAGCGUGGGUAGCGAACAGGAUUAGAUACCCUGGUAGUCCACGCCGUAAACGGUGGGUACUAGGUGUGGGUUUCCUUCCACGGGAUCCGUGCCGUAGCUAACGCAUUAAGUACCCCGCCUGGGGAGUACGGCCGCAAGGCUAAAACUCAAAGGAAUUGACGGGGGCCCGCACAAGCGGCGGAGCAUGUGGAUUAAUUCGAUGCAACGCGAAGAACCUUACCUGGGUUUGACAUACACCGGAAACCUGCAGAGAUGUAGGCCCCCUUGUGGUCGGUGUACAGGUGGUGCAUGGCUGUCGUCAGCUCGUGUCGUGAGAUGUUGGGUUAAGUCCCGCAACGAGCGCAACCCUUAUCUUAUGUUGCCAGCGCGUAAUGGCGGGGACUCGUGAGAGACUGCCGGGGUCAACUCGGAGGAAGGUGGGGACGACGUCAAGUCAUCAUGCCCCUUAUGUCCAGGGCUUCACACAUGCUACAAUGGCCGGUACAGAGGGCUGCGAUACCGUGAGGUGGAGCGAAUCCCUUAAAGCCGGUCUCAGUUCGGAUCGGGGUCUGCAACUCGACCCCGUGAAGUUGGAGUCGCUAGUAAUCGCAGAUCAGCAACGCUGCGGUGAAUACGUUCCCGGGCCUUGUACACACCGCCCGUCACGUCAUGAAAGUCGGUAACACCC
rnacentral:rRNA from 1 species